rnacentral:tRNA from 1 species
GUUGUUUUUAUAGUUGAAAAACAACGGCGGUUUUUCAAGUCGCAGGUUUUGGUGAGUAACUCCAAAUGAAAAUG